GGAGUGCGGCCGCAAGGCUAAAACUCAAAGGAAUUGACGGGGCCCCGCACAAGCGGCGGAGCAUGCGGCUUAAUUCGAUGCAACCCGAAGAACCUUACCUGGACUUGACAUCAUGGGUCUACCUGUAGAAAUACGGGGUGCUUAUGCGCCCAUGACAGGUGGUGCAUGGCUGUCGUCAGCUCGUGUCGUGUGAUGUUGGGUUAAGUCCCGCAACGAGCGCAACCCCUGUCCUAUGUUGCCAGCACGUAAUGGUGGGGACUCAUAGGAGACUGCCGGGGAUAACUCGGAGGAAGGCGGGGAUGACGUCAAGUCAUCAUGCCCCUUAUGUCCAGGGCUGCACGCAUGCUACAAUGGGUGGUACAACGGGCUGCGGUCUCGCAAGAGUGAGCGAAUCCCUUAAAGCCAUCCCUAGUUCGGAUUGGAGUCUGCAACUCGACUCCAUGAAGCCGGAGUCGCUAGUAAUCGUGGAUCAGCAAAGCCGCGGUGAAUACGUUCUCGGGGCUUGCACACACUGCCCGU
rnacentral:rRNA from 1 species